GACGUAGGGCGCGAGCGUUGUCCGGAUUUAUUGGGCGUAAAGAGCUCGUAGGUGGCUUGUCGCGUCUGCCGUGAAAGCCCGUGGCUUAACUACGGGUCUGCGGUGGAUACGGGCAGGCUAGAGGCUGGUAGGGGCAAGCGGAAUUCCUGGUGUAGCGGUGAAAUGCGCAGAUAUCAGGAGGAACACCGGUGGCGAAGGCGGCUUUCUGGACAGAAACUGACGCUGAGGCGCGAAAGCUAGGGGAGCAAACAGG
rnacentral:rRNA from 1 species